rnacentral:rRNA from 1 species
GAUGAACGCUGGCGGCGUGCCUAAUACAUGCAAGUCGAGCGAAAAGACGAGGUGCUUGCUCCUCUGACGUUAGCGGCGGACGGGUGCGUAACACGUGGCUAACCUACCUAUAAGAAUGGGAUAACUUCGGGAAACCGGAGCUAAUACCGGAUAAUCUAUUGCACCGCAUGGUUUAAUAGUGAAAGACGGUUUUGCUGUCACUUAUAGAUGGAUCCGUGCCGCAUUAGGUAGUUGGUAAGGUAACGGCUUACAAAGGGAGCGAUGCGUAGCCGACCGGAGAGAGGGAUCGGCGACACUGGAGCUGAGACACGGUCCAGGCUACUACGGGACGGAGCAGUAGUGAAUCUGCCGCAAUGGUCGGGAGCCUGACGGAACAACGCCGCGUGAGUGGUGAAGGUCUUGGGAUCGUAAAACUCUGUUAUUAGGGAAGAACAAAUGUGUAAGGAACUGUAGACUUCUUGACGGUAACGAAUCAGAAAGCCACGGCUAACUACGUG